rnacentral:rRNA from 1 species
GGGUGAGUAACACGUGAGUAACCUGCCCCUGGACUCACUCUGGAAUAASCGCUGGAAACGGCGUCUAAUACCGGAUAUGACACGAUCAGGCAUCUGAAUCGUGUGGAAAGUUUUUCGGUCUGGGAUGGACUCGCGGCCUAUCAGCUUGUUGGUGAGGUAAUGGCUCACCAAGGCGAUGACGGGUAGCCGGCCUGAGAGGGCGAUCGGCCACACUGGGACUGAGACACGGCCCAGACUCCUACGGGAGGCAGCAGUGGGGAAUAUUGCACAAUGGGCGAAAGCCUGAUGCAGCGACGCCGCGUGAGGGAUGACGGCCUUCGGGUUGUAAACCUCUUUCAGCAGGGAAGAAGCGAAAGUGACGGUACCUGCAGAAGAAGCACCGGCUAACUACGUGCCAGCAGCCGCGGUAAUACGUAGGGUGCGAGCGUUGUCCGGAAUUAUUGGGCGUAAAGAGCUUGUAGGCGGUUUGUCGCGUCUGCCGUGAAAAUCCGGGGCUCAACCCCGGACUUGCGGUGGGUACGGGCAGACUAGAGUGUGGUAGGGGAGACUGGAAUUCCUGGUGUAGCGGUGAAAUGCGCAGAUAUCAGGAGGAACACCGAUGGCGAAGGCAGGUCUCUGGGCCACUACUGACGCUGAGAAGCGAAAGCAUGGGGAGCGAACAGGAUUAGAUACCCUGGUAGUCCAUGCCGUAAACGUUGGGAACUAGGUGUGGGUCUCAUUCCACGAGAUCCGUGCCGCAGCUAACGCAUUAAGUUCCCCGCCUGGGGAGUACGGCCGCAAGGCUAAAACUCAAAGGAAUUGACGGGGGCCCGCACAAGCGGCGGAGCAUGUGGAUUAAUUCGAUGCAACGCGAAGAACCUUACCAAGGCUUGACAUAUACCGGAAACAUUCAGAGAUGGGUGCCCCGCAAGGUCGGUAUACAGGUGGUGCAUGGUUGUCGUCAGCUCGUGUCGUGAGAUGUUGGGUUAAGUCCCGCAACGAGCGCAACCCUCGUUCUAUGUUGCCAGCACGUAAUGGUGGGGACUCAUAGGAGACUGCCGGGGUCAACUCGGAGGAAGGUGGGGAUGAGGUCAAAUCAUCAUGCCCCUUAUGUCUUGGGCUUCACACAUGCUACAAUGGCCGGUACAAAGGGCUGCGAUACCGCGAGGUGGAGCGAAUCCCA